rnacentral:lncRNA from 1 species
UUCAAUGUGUACUAUUCCAAAACAAUAAAUCUCGUGAUAAAAUAAAUUGCUAUUAAGAUAUUGAUUACUUGUAUAACUUUGUGACUUCAUUUUCUCAUUUGAGUAUCUGUCAUUUAUCACAUGACCUUUAUAGGUAAAAAGAAUACCUAUAAGUUCUCCUAUUUGUAUAGAAGUAAAAUAUCAUUCAAUUUUUCAUUUGUCCCAUGACUUUUAUGGGAAGAAGGAAUACCUAUAAUAUCUCCUAUUUUUAUAGAAGUAAAAAAUCAAAUACUAGAAGCUUGCUAUGAACCUAAACAACAUAUCAAGGCUCAUUGGUGGAAAGUAAUAGUUCCAUGGGGGCGAGCUCAUUACUUGCACAAGGUGUAAAAAGGACCAACACUUCUACCUUUGCACUACUAGGGAUUAUAGACUCUACCAUGAUGUUUUGGCUAAUAAAAGGUGAGGUGCCUCGACUGGCCUUACAAGAGGUAAAUCUUUAUCAUUAGUUUGCUUGUAUAUGUAUAUAUUCAUAUGUAAAUCCACUACAUGUUAUGCUGAGUAAUGUGUAUUUGUGUUUGUGAAAGAUAAACUAUGAUGCUAAUGAAGAAAAGGUAAGUCACAAAAUUUACAGAUCAUGUACAAGAGAUCAAAAAUGCAGAAUGCACCUCUUGUAUCUGCUUUUGUUGCUACAACAAUCGCUUUAGGGAUUUUCAGUGCCGCACUUACAUUUAUUAUAUGUAAAAUGCACAGCCCUAAUCUCCCCUAAUCAUUAGUUUGGCUUAAUGAUUAUGCAGAUUGGAAGUUUCAUCUUUCAAACUUUAUGUCGACUAUACGUAAAAUCCAAACUGCAUGAUCAUAUUUUUUAUUAACGGCCCAAGUUUAAUCACCACUUUCAAAUGAAAUCUGGAUGCACAGGUCAUCUUCCACCGUAUAGUACACAAAUCCCUAUAGUGUUGGUGGCAGCAUCUAUAGAGGCUCUAGGCAUGGAGGUGAUAGACAACAAGGCUCUCUAACUAGUCAUCGUUUAUUCAGGUUCUGUGGUGGCCAUGCAUUGGAUGCUUUUAUUAAAACUUCUUCUUGCUGUAUGAUGGGUGAUGAUUAGACUUGAAAAUUUGUGUUUGGAAUUUGGGUUUUAGAGAAGAAAAAGAAAACUCUUUGGAAUUAAUAAAAGAAGAACGAAGGGAUAAUAGAGGAU